UACGAAGGGGGCUAGCGUUGCUCGGAAUCACUGGGCGUAAAGCGCGCGUAGGCGGCCCUGUAAGUCCGUUGUGAAAGUCAAAGGCUCAACCUUUGAAAGCCGAUGGAUACUGCAGGGCUAGAGUCCGGAAGAGGCGAGUGGAAUUCCUGGUGUAGCGGUGGAAUGCGCAGAUAUCAGGAGGAACACCGAUGGCGAAGGCAGUUCUCUGGGCCGUAACUGACGCUGAUGCGCGAAAGCGUGGGGAGCAAACAGG
rnacentral:rRNA from 1 species